AAAGUCGUAACAAGGUUUCCGUAGGUGAACCUGCGGAAGGAUCAUUACAGAGUUCAUGCCCUCACGGGUAGACCUCCCACCCUUGUGUAUUUAUACUAUGUUGCUUUGGCAGGUUGCUGCCCCCCUCGGGGGACAGCCCCAGCGCCUUCGGGCCUGGGAGUCGCCUGCCGGAGGAAAAACAAACUCUGAAUUGUUAGUGUCGUCUGAGUACUAUAUUUUAAUAGUUAAAACUUUCAACAACGGAUCUCUUGGUUCUG
rnacentral:misc_RNA from 1 species